rnacentral:lncRNA from 1 species
GGUUGCAUAGCUGGGCAACAGCAUGUUUUGUACUUAUUGGGCAGUCUUAAUUACCAAUUAUGUUUAUGUAUCCAUGAUUUAUCCUAGAAAUUAAUAAAGAUGAUUUUGUAUAUUCUCAAGGUGUUGAGAAUUUGAGACAUACAUUAUUAGUGGUUAAUUUCUAAAUACUUUCGAUCGAAAGAUCAUCACGGAAGAUAGUGAUCAAUCCAUUCGAGAUCGAUGCAC